rnacentral:rRNA from 1 species
UACGUAGGGUGCAAGCGUUGUCCGGAAUUAUUGGGCGUAAAGAGCUCGUAGGCGGUUUGUCGCGUCUGCUGUGAAAACUCGGGGCUUAACCCCGGGCCUGCAGUGGGUACGGGCAGACUAGAGUGCGGUAGGGGAGACUGGAAUUCCUGGUGUAGCGGUGGAAUGCGCAGAUAUCAGGAGGAACACCGAUGGCGAAGGCAGGUCUCUGGGCCAUUACUGACACUGAGAAGCGAAAGCAUGGGGAGCGAACAGG